rnacentral:misc_RNA from 1 species
UCCGAGUUGACCCCGGCAGUCUCCCAUGAGUCCCCGGCAUAACCCGCUGGCAACAUGGAACGAGGGUUGCGCUUGUUGCGGGACUUAACCCAACAUCUCACGACACGAGCUGACGACAGCCAUGCAGCACCUGUGUCCAGGCUCCCUUUCGGGCACACUCGACUCUCAUCGAGCUUCCUGGCAUGUCAAGGGUAGGUAAGGUUCUUCGCGUUGCAUCGAAUUAAUCCACAUCAUCCACCGCUUGUGCGGGUCCCCGUCAAUUCCUUUGAGUUUUAGUCUUGCGACCGUACUUCCCAGGCGGAGCGCUUAAUGCGUUAGCUUCGGCACCGCGGGGGUCAAUACCCACGACACCUAGCGCUCAUCGUUUACGGCGUGGACUAC